rnacentral:rRNA from 1 species
GAUGAACGCUGGCGGCGUGCCUAAGACAUGCAAGUCGAGUGGGUUUAGACCCACGGCGAACGGGUGAGUAAUACCUAGGAACUUUCUUUAAGUGGAGCAUAACCAGUCGAAAGAUUGGAUAAUACUUCAUGUGGCAGCAAUGCUAAAGUCGCAAGACGCUUAAAGUGAGGCCUGGGCACCAUCAGCUAGUUGGUAAGGUAAUGGCUUACCAAGGCUAUGACGGUUAGGGGUCCCGAGAGGGAUAACCCCC